UACGUAGGGUGCAAGCGUUGUCCGGAAUUAUUGGGCGUAAAGAGCUCGUAGGCGGUCUGUCGCGUCGGCUGUGAAAUCCCGAGGCUCAACCUCGGGUCUGCAGUCGAUACGGGCAAACUGGAGUGUUGCAGGGGAGACUGGAAUUCCUGGUGUAGCGGUGAAAUGCGCAGAUAUCAGGAGGAACACCGGUGGCGAAGGCGGGACUCUGGGCCGAUACUGACGCUGAGGAGCGAAAGCGUGGGGAGCGAACAGG
rnacentral:rRNA from 1 species